UGGGUAGAGUGUUCAAUGUCCAUUUAAUUAAAUCACCAAAUAUUACGGCCCCAGCCUGUGAGGUUAUUGAGACCCCAGUGAAUAGCAGCAACCUAUUGGCUGCAGGAAAAUGGUACAACUCAGGAGUUUAAUCUGUUCUAUUCCCACAAUGUGUGCUUAUAACAAGGAGAGGAAGGAAAGCAAGAGAUGUUCUACCGUAUCUUGAUGAAUAUUACCUAGGAAUUACUCCUUCAUUUUCGAUCAACAGUGUCCCUAAAACUUCAUUGAAAGCAUAGACAUUUUAGUCAAUGAGCCACCAGAAGGGCAACCUCACCAGACCCUUGGACCUGACUCAUUCAGCCUUUGAGUCUUUAUCAGUCCCAUGUCCUCACUUGGUGAUCUUCACUGGUGAAACUGGGUCGUAAUAUGCUUGAGAAAAUGAGUGUGUCCCUUCAUCAGGGAGAUCACCAAGAGGGGCACAGGGCCUGGUGUGGCCUUGGAAAGUCAGGUUGUUGUGUAAGUGGAACCUAUGGGAGCAGCCUUUUGAAAAGGAAAAGUUGCAACAAUGUUGUAACACGAGUGCAAUAUGUGAGACUUUUGCAUAAUGAACACUUCAGUGCCUUACAAAACAACACAAAACAAAAAAAGGGAGUUGUGCUUUAGUUGAAAGAACUUGGGUGUUGGAUUUAGUAGACCUGAGUUCAUCUCCCACUCCCCUGUUACUUAGCCCUCUGGGUGACCUGGGGCAAGACACUGCAUCUCCCUGUGCCUGAAUUUCCACACCUGUCAAGGGGCAAUAAUGGUGCUGUUUUUGUAUUGUGUGUGGAUUUAAUUACAAUUGUAGGAUGUCAGGCACAAAGCUCAGCACAAAAUAACAGCUCAAUAAAUAGUGUGUCUCUGUGGCUGGUGGCCCAUUUAGCUGUCUCAUUUAUUCUACUUAAUAUUUUUGGCUGGGCGCCAUGGCUCACGCCUGUAAUCCCGGUAUUUUGAGGUGCUGAGGCAGGUGGAUUACCUGAGGUCAAGAGUUCGAGACCAGCCUGGCCAACACGGUGAAACUCCAUCUCUACUAAAAAAAAAAUACAAAAAUUAACCAGGUGUGGUGGCGGUUGUCUAUAAUCCCAGCUUGGGAGGCUCACGCAGAAGAACCACUUGAACCCGAAAAGUGAAGUUUGCAGUGAGCCGAGAUUGCACCACUGCACCCCAGCCUGGGUGACAGAGGCAGACUUCAUCGCUAAAAAACAAACAAACAAACAAACAAACAAAUGUAGAAUUUUCCUGUCCCUCCCUAGAAACUUUCAGUGCUGAAAGGACCCUCGGAGGUCAUCAAGUCCCACUGUCUUUGUUAGAUGAAGAAAUUCAGUCCAAGGAGGUUACGUGACUUGCUCGAGGCCACUCAGCUUUCUGACCCUGCUCCUCGAACCCUCCAUCAGACCUUUUGGAUGUGUCUGCUCUGCGGGCACAUCCUUCUAGGCUGAGCAGUGCUGACUCUAAUUUCAGACUCGUUUCGUAGUCUGUUGACAAUUACGUUGUCCAUCAUGCCAUUUAGAGCUCUGACUUUAUAGCUUUGGGAAGCACCUUAAAAUAUAAUUGCAAACACUCUGCCCAUCCAAAUGUGUACUUCCCAUGCCUAAUAAUGAGGCUUUUAAGUGGUGGCACAGGAGAGCGGCAAGAUGAUAGCUCAUGCGAAAUGAGAAAUUGGAGCAAAUGGGAUUUGGUAAUGGACUUUGCAGUGACACGAGUUGUCUGAUAGCUGGUCUGUGGUUAUCUUGGUACAUUUUGUAUUUUGAAAGGCACAAAAUGUCAGGUCAUUGCUCAAAUACUGGUUAAGAUUUUGAUUAUUUUGCAGAAUUGUAGCAUAGUACCUCAGGAUUGACAUUUUGCCCUCAAAAUUUUAUGUUCAAUGUUCCUGUCCUUUGUUUAGAAGUUGCACUUUCUAUUGUUUGUAAGUCUAUCAAAAAAAAAAUAGAAAGUUUUUCUUUCCUGUUGCCUAAAUGAUUUGAUUGUUUAGUUCUUGGAGUAGAAACACCAGCUGCCCUUAGCCUGGGUGCAAGCCAGCAGAGAAGGGGAAAGGAAUGCAAGAGUGAGUAAGAUGUGGCCCUUAUCCUCAAGGAAUUCAGAGUCCCAUGGGGGAGAUAGGCCUGGUUUCUAUAAACAAUGAUGCAAGACAGAACAUGAUGUGCCAGGAGGGACAGAGUGCCAAGGUGGGGACAAAGGAAUGACGAGUCCCGAAAUAGACCUGUGGGAAAGGUGUUGUGAUGCUGGGAGGCUGGACUGGAUCUUAAAGAAGGCCAGUGUCCACAUCCUGCUCACAUUUGGGACAUCUGUGAGGCAGGGUGCCUCCUUUUUGUCCCUCCAAGAGGACAGUUGGGGGACUUGGCCUCUGGCCGCCUCAAGUUGGGUCAGCACCUGCUGGGCCUCAUCCUGGUUCAUCGUGCAUCAAUGGGAGCGCACCUGGGUUCUGCUGACAUGUGAGAGCUUCUUCACCGAGGGGUUCAGAAAAGUGUGCUCAUGGCCUGUAGAUCUGGAUUCAAAGGGAGAUGAGAAAAAUAGGAACUGAGCCCGUGGCUUGCCUCACCCACUUCCUGAGCCUGCGCAAGGGACAAGACUUUCCUGUGUGGCCUUCUUACGGCAGUCCACAGGGAAGUGGCCUCAUUUUCUGUGUCUGUCCUGCCCAGCGCCCCCACUCUCCUGUGCUGGUCCCAGGCCAUCCCUUAGCCAGAGUGCAGAACUCCAGACCCCCAAUAUUCUCUCAUAUCCUCAGAAUCUUCAGCUUCCAUCCAUGGAUGUUGGCUGAAUCCUGAGUGGGGUCGUAGAAAGAUCUGGUCCUGUGAGUAGGGGGGCGAGGAGGAAGGCAGGGACUUCAGCUGGGCUGUCUACAACCUGAGUCUAAAACACCUAAAGACAAGCACAACUUGCCCCCGCUAGGACGAAUUUCUUGCUCCAGACCGCCUCACUGCAUCUCUAGGGCCAUGUGUAUUCCUGCUAUUUGGCCACAUUCCUUGAGAAAAAUUGCCUAUUAAAAGAAUUUCCUUAUUCACCA
rnacentral:lncRNA from 1 species